UGGAGAUUUGCCUGAUCUAUCCGUCCUUCAGAUGACAGCGGCUCGCUUCAAGAGCAGGUGAAGCAAGUUGGGACAAUGUUGAAGACAUUUGCUCGCACUGGGCAAUCAGGUGCAGAUCAAACCCUAAUGCUGCGACGUCUUGGAAUUUGGCGAUGUUGUGCGUAGCAUGGACGACAAAAUGCUAUGCUGCAACGUUUCAGUGCCAAUGUGUCUGUUGGAGAGUUAUCCCUGCCAGGGGAUCUGUUACUCCCCCCUAGACACCCAGGAAGAUUUGCCGUUGCUUGACAACAGUUUGAGGCAGGAUAAAGAGC